UUUGAAAUGAAAUAAUCUAAUUCAUUUAAUAAAUAAAUACUUAAAGGGCACAAAAUAAAUAGAAUAAAGCACAAAAUACUUAAAAACUCUUGGUUCACAGCCUAUUUAGGCAAACUCCUAACUAGACUAAGCCCAUGCUCAAACCAACACAGACCUAUACCUAACUAUGAGAAACAUUACAGACUCAUACCCAGAGAAAGAAGGGCCAAAGGCCUAACUGAUAGAAACCAACAAAGACCCGUCUUCCCCUCUUGGUAAUCCAUUUUUAGAAUCGAGUCACUGCCGCCUCAAAGGAGAGUAUCAGCUAACAUCAAGAAAAACUUUGAAUAUCUCAUCUGCACACAGACUGGUGGGAUCUCAAUCAUAAGAAAAUGGCAUGCAACCACUUAACAUAAUAAAUAGAGACCCCAAAUAAGGAACCCAAAAGCUCAAGAACUGAGCGAGUAUUAGCUCAGCCAAGAGAGCAAGUGAACCAAAGAGAUGUCGGAUGAAUCCAGGAGUAGACGUGGAAAAGCUCCGGCGUCUUAAUCUCAUCUAGCCAAGACGAUCACACGUCCUUGAGAGUACCAACCAAUAGAUGAUGCCAAGGAGAGACUAUUCAGAUUCAACCAUCUUAGAUCUUUGGAGGAGCCUUGACAAAAAGAGUACCAGAUCUGAUCUACACCUACUAAAAUACAAAACAGCAAAUCCCCAUUAAAUAGAGAAACUAAAUUCCACAGAGGGAGACUGAAAUAAGGAAAAA
rnacentral:misc_RNA from 1 species